rnacentral:rRNA from 1 species
UACGGAAGGCAGCAGUGGGGAAUAUUGCACAAUGGGCGCAAGCCUGAUGCAGCCAUGCCGCGUGUAUGAAGAAGGCCUUCGGGUUGUAAAGUACUUUCAGCGGGGAGGAAGGCGAUGUGGUUAAUAACCGCGUCGAUUGACGUUACCCGCAGAAGAAGCACCGGCUAACUCCGUGCCAGCAGCCGCGGUAAUACGGAGGGUGCAAGCGUUAAUCGGAAUUACUGGGCGUAAAGCGCACGCAGGCGGUCUGUUAAGUCAGAUGUGAAAUCCCCGGGCUUAACCUGGGAACUGCAUUUUGAACUGGCAGGCUUGAGUCUCGUAGAGGGGGUAGAAUUCCAGGUGUAGCGGUGAAAUGCGUAGAGAUCUGGAGGAAUACCGGUGGCGAAGGCGGCCCCUGGACGAAGACUGACGCUCAGGGUGCGAAAGCGUGGGGAGCAAACAGGAUUAGAUACC